GGAAAAUGGCGCUGAGGGCAGCCGUUCUUCGCCAUCUUCGACUUCCAGUCCAAUUCUUUGCCCUAGCUCACCGGGAAUGCCAGCCGCCGCUGUGUUCCGGUGGAUCUCUCCGGCUAUUUUCAUCUCACGAUGAUCACUUGACAAAGGACGAGGUCAUUGAGAGAGUUCUCUCGGUUAUCAGGUGCCACCCGAAAGUCGAUCCCUCCAAGGUGAGCCCUGAUGUUCAUUUCCAGAAGGAUUUGGGUUUAGACAGCUUGGACACUGUGGAGAUUGUAAUGGCCUUGGAAGAGGAGUUCAAGCUAGAGAUACCGGAC
rnacentral:misc_RNA from 1 species